UUUCCGUAGGUGAACCUGCGGAAGGAUCAUUAAUGAAAUGCAAGGACGCUCUUUUUAGAGGUCCGACCCAAAUCAUUUUCCUUUACACUGUGCACAUACUAUUUUCUACACCAUUUUUAUAUACGCAAUAGUCUUAAGAAUGUAAAAUCAGUCUCGAAAGAGCAAUAAAAGCAAUAAAACUUUCAGCAACGGAUCUCUUGGCUCUCGCAUCGAUGAAGAACGCAGC
rnacentral:misc_RNA from 1 species